rnacentral:rRNA from 1 species
UACGAAGGUCCCGAGCGUUGUUCGGAAUCACUGGGCGUAAAGGGAGCGUAGGCGGCGCGGUAAGUCGGGUGUGAAAUCUCGGAGCUUAACUCCGAAACUGCAUUCGAUACUGCCGUGCUUGAGGACUGGAGAGGAGACUGGAAUUUACGGUGUAGCGGUGAAAUGCGUAGAUAUCGUAAGGAAGACCAGUGGCGAAGGCGGGUCUCUGGACAGUUCCUGACGCUGAGGCACGAAGGUCAGGGGAGCAAACGGG